AGUGAAAUUUGAAAUGAAAAUGAAAUCUUUUCAUUUAAUUUUCAAUUUUGGCACAUAUUUUUCAUAUAGUUUUCUAUAAUGAAAUUGUUAAUCUGGUUUUAAUUUAAAAAAUUUUUAAACAAAUUGAUUUCUUUAAAAUUGACAGAAAAUACCUUCCAUAGUAAGGAACAUUAUUUAGAGUCCAGUAACCUUUAGUUUAAACUGAUUAUCGUUUUUUUUUACUUGCGUUUUCGCAGCUACCCUAUUAAAUCCAUUCACACAGCAGCUCUUUUUCCACUCAGUCCGGCUGAGGGGCGUGUUCCUGACGUCAAUGCAUACUCUCCAUAUAUAGAGACGUACGUACAUCGCCCCGCCCUCUUCAUUUAGCCCCGCCUUACAAACACUGUCCUUUAAAUAAGCACUGGAGCGCUAGCGCUUCUCCAAACUCACCGGAUUCUGGAGGAACGUCAUUGUGCUCCUCGCUCUUCACUUACUUUGCUGAAGGAUCCGCUUAAGGAUAUUUUCUGGUAGGCUACUCCAUUCCCGCCUCUUGUGUUCGUUUAGCGCAGCGGUUCUCAAGAAGAUCAUCUGCGAAAGAAAGAAAGAAAGAAAGAAAGACAAACUGCGGAAACUGCGUCGUCUCUCUUUCUUUCAUAAAGCGGCUCCGAACGAUCUCCAAUUCCUCUGAAACUUUCUUCUUCAGAUCGUUGUGUAAGGAAGCUUGAGUUAUUAUUUGUUCAAUAACUUCACAAUUAAAUCAAUGCAAUAAUUUGUUGUGUGUUUUCAGACAGUUUCCUUAUAUGAGCUAAAACAUGGACAUCAUCAAUGUGUCGUGUUCAGAGAUUCAGACUCCAGUGGGGUUUGUGUAUGUGAUUCUGUCUGUUAUAAUGAAUCACAUCAAUAAUCCUGACUGUGAUCAGAGCUGGUAUCUACAGGAUGAGCGUCUGAUAGCAGAUCCAUCAGAUCCUCAGAAACUGAUUGAUCCUGUGAUUUCUGUCUCGUCUGAUCGUCUCGUCACGUCUCGCUGUGUGAAUCUGAUUCAUGAGAUCAUCUGUCAUUCUGUUGGAUUAAAAUAUCAGACUGCCUUCAGAGUGUUUAAUGACACAGACUCCUUCAGCGGAUCGACUCAAACUCCAGAAUCACAUCAGUGGUGGUGGAUUUCUGCUCCGAUCUUUAUUGUUCUUCUGCUCUUGAUCUGUUUCUUGCUGCGGAAAAAGAUCUUCAGAUGUUUUCAGCGCAGUGAUUCAGAAAACAGAGAUCCUGAAUCUGGUGUCCAAAUGCAGCUCAGAUCAGAUGAAUCUGAUUCACUGAAUCAAUAUGAAUCUGAGCAGAUCAACGGCUCCAUGUCCAGAGGAUGAUCUUCAUCUUCAUCAUCAUAAUCUUCUUCUUCUUCAUCAUCAUCAUCAUCAUCAUCAUCUUCUUCAUCUUCAUCAUCAUCAUCUUCUUCAUCAUCUUCAUCAUCUUCAUCAUCUUCUUCUUCAUCAUCAUCAUCAUCAUCAUCGUGGCUGAUUUACUCAGACUCAGGCUCCUCAGGAGAUUUUUUUGCUUCAUUCUGAGCUUCUUAACUCUUAUUUAUUCUCGUUCAUCUGCAUCUGUCUGUUUUAUUAAUGCAGUUGAAUCUUAAAGACCCUCUUAUGUUUCUGAUCGUCUCCUGAACUUUGCCCGUUGAACCCAGAUCUCUGUUUAAAAAAAAACAGUGAAUUCCUGCUUCAGCUUUCACUGAAAGCAUGUACUUUGUGUUAUUAUCAUUGUCACAUGGACAUUAAUUUGAUGAGUCUGAUUCCUCUCAGACACUUCAUGGAGUUUUAUGUGAGCUCAAAAACACUAAAGCAUUAUGUAUAAAUGAAUAUAAAUACUGAAUUAUUUGUCCUUAUUUCUUCAUAUUCACACUGUUUUACAUGAUUUAUUAAUUAAGAGUCAAAUCAUUGUCAGGAAACAUGCAUCCAUGUCUGUGUGUCUGUUAAUUAUCUUGUUUGUCUGUGUUGUCCUUGUUUUCAGUUGUUCUUGGUUCAGGUUUUAUCUUUACUGUAGUUGUUCUGGUAACACUGUUGUGUUGUUCAUAUGUUUGCUUGAACAAAUGUUUUGUGCUCUCUCUCUCUCUCUCUCUCUCUCUCUAUGUAUAUAUAUAUGUGUGUGUUUUAUGAUAAACACUGGUAAGAUUUUAAAACAGUUUGUUCUAAAAUCAGUCAUUUGUUCUGUCAUUAUUUACGUUAUAAAGGUGUGCAAGUAAUACGACUGUACACUAUCCUUUAAAUGGGCUUUAUGUGUUCAUUCAUCUCUAUUCAAAGCUGCAAAAAAAAAUUUCUUCAUGGACGCUUUCAUUUAAUGAGUGUUUAAUGAGUUAAUAAAAUAUUUCAACUCAAGCCA
ensembl:lncRNA